AUACCUUUCUCGGCCUUUUGGCUAAGAUCAAGUGUAGUAUCUGUUCUUAUCAGUUUAAUAUCUGAUAUGUGAGUCAUUGACUCACACGAUAUUAACUCUAUUUUUUUUAGGGAGAGAGUCCACUAAGGUAGCUUGCUACCUAGGCUUUCAAGCGUCGCCCUUGCGUUGCACUACUGCAAAGGCCUGGCGCACCCCAC
rnacentral:snRNA from 1 species